UAGAGUUUGAUCAUGGCUCAGAUUGAACGCUGGCGGCAGGCUUAACACAUGCAAGUCGAGCGGGGGAAGUUGCUUCGGUAACUGACCUAGCGGCGGACGGGUGAGUAAUGCUUAGGAAUCUGCCUAUUAGUGGGGGACAACAUCUCGAAAGGGAUGCUAAUACCGCACACGUCCUACGGGAGAAAGCAGGGGAUCUUCGGACCUUGCGCUAAUAGAUGAGCCUAAGUCGGAUUAGCUAGUUGGUGGGGUAAAGGCCUACCAAGGCGACGAUCUGUAGCGGGUCUGAGAGGAUGAUCCGCCACACUGGGGACUGAGACACGGCCCAGACUCCUACNGGACGCAG
rnacentral:rRNA from 1 species